rnacentral:rRNA from 1 species
GCCUAGCCCUAAACAUCGAUAGCAUGUUACACUUGCUAUCCGCCUGGGAACUACGAGCACCAGCUUGAAACCCAAAGGACUUGGCGGUGCUUUAGAUCCACCUAGAGGAGCCUGUCCUAGAACCGAUAACCCCCGUUUAACCUCACCCUUCCUUGUUUCUCCCGCCUAUAUACCGCCGUCGUCAGCUUACCCUGUGAAGGUCUCAUAGUAAGCAAAAUUGGCACAGCCUAAAACGUCAGGUCGAGGUGUAGCGUAUGGAAGGGGAAGAGAUGGGCUACAUUCCCUAAUAUAAGUGAAUACGAACGAUGUGCUGAAACACACAUCCAAAGGAGGAUUUAGUAGUAAGCAGGAAUUAGAACGUCCCGCUGAAAUCGGCCCUGAAGCGCGC